AAGCCUAUAAAUAGAUUAAAUAGAAUUGUUGGUCAUAAUAAAUAUUAUUAAUUUAGCAUGCGUAUAUUGGGAUGAUCGAUUUAGGUAAAUCGGUAAAUCAAGUAAUUAAGUUACACAGUUUAGAGAGUUAAUAAAAAGCUAGGAAUAAAAAUAGAUGUUCUAGUGUUAAUAUGUCACUUUGGUUAAUGGAUGUAGUCGAUGCCCUGCUAUGAUAUCCAUGGUGCUUAAUGCUUGAUUUUAAGUGUUCCAUCCUUUUUAGAGUAGAUUAUCUAUAAUAUACUGGUUAUACUUGUGCUCAUACAUAUGCAUCGUGCAUCUCAUGAGGUACGAUAAAUAAUCGCGCGAUGCGGAAGAUAACUCAAGUCGACCCCAAGCGUGGACCAAUCCGCAGGAUGAUGCUGAUGGACGAACCGGAAGAUGGAUAAUCUGAUCAAGUGCUAGGACAAGGAUGGUCGCCAAGUGGUCGCCACCUAACAAACACUAACCUAGUGUUACUCAGGCAAGCCCCGGUGCAUUUGCCACCUCCUUGCGUUUUAAAAAUCUUUUUCACUUGCUUGAUGCAUUAGGUGAUAGAAGUUGAUUGCUAAAACAAUUCCUGCAUUACCUUCCUUGAACUUGAUUACCUUCCUUGAUCACCUGUUUUACAAAAGAUUUUGAUGCUUAGCCUUGCUUUAGAAAAUCAAAAUAUUUUGUUUUUACAAAAGAUGAUGUGGCAAAAGUGGGUGGGAUGUUUUUGAAAAUAAAAUUUGAUGGUGGAUCCAUCAGGCCUUGAUGGAUUCAACAUCUGGAAAAGAUGUACCUCUGCCAGGUACCAAACUUUGGGUUUGAAAUGAUUAAGCUGAGACCGGGCGGGUGACUUGCACGAGAAGAGAGUCUCGGUGUAGUGUCUCCGUCUGAGUCGAUUAAGGACCUUGUCGAUGUAGGCUUGAUGAUCGAGGACCCUUUAACUGGUCACAUGCCUCGUCAUGGGUAAGCCUUGCCUCGGGCAGACUAAGGCCGGAAUAAGACAACACGAGAUGGGCGUGGAGCGGUGGCGAGAGUAGCGUGUACCCUCCGUGGCAAGAGGCUGGACGGUGGUGUAUCUGUGCUCUCGGUCUGCGUGAACCUGAUCCGGUCUUAAGAACCCCGGUGGCGGGUUGACAUAUGCAAGGGUUAAGUGCUACAUAUGUCGUGUGAUUGGAGAUCCUCAGCUGAGUAUAAUCGAUUCGGAUCGCCGUACCUUCGCGGUUAUGAAGACUUGGUCACUACCCUACACGUAGCAUUCCACUAAAGACGAUGGGCUUUUGUUAAGAAAUUGGCUAGUGCAGGUCAAGUGCUUGAACUAGGGUAGACAGAACUCUAGAUGCAGGUAAUUUUACUUAACUUGACAUUAAAAAUGGAUUUUUAAGGAUCCACUCAUAGUAAGCUUUUCUGCAAAACAGAGUCCUUGAUUCUUGAUAACCCUUUCCUUGAAUCCCUCUAGCCAGCAUACCCUUGAGAGUCUUUUCUUUAGUCGGGUAAGUCUUGCUGAGUAAUUCCAUACUCAGGGUUUUAUUCCCUGUUGUUUUUCAGGUCCUAACUUUGUGAUGUUGUUGAUGGUGUUAAGUGUCGGUGGGCUCGGCCUUCUUAUAAGUCUAAGUAACCCUUCUAUACUUCUUAUUGAGGAUGAUCCCUUGAGCUAGCAUAUAUUUCAAACUUAUACUUUUGUAAUCACUCCGAUAAACUAAUAUAAAGUUUUUGUAACUUGUAAAAUUUGGUAGUAAGAUUUCCGCUGCAAUAAUAUUGGUGUGUGUGAUUUGUAUUACUUAAUCCCGCGAUCUUGGUUGUAAGUGGUUUAUCCGAUGUCCUUGGGGCAAUCGGACAGAUCCUGUUAAGUUAUCUGGUGCACAUGCAUAGCUGUCUGAGGUCUUUAAGACAAGGACAGGUGCAUGUGGGCCCAAUAACUUGGGAGGUUCUGCCACAGGCUGGUAUCGGAGCUGGAUUAAGUAUAUACGGUCACAUACAUAUUUUAAAAACAAAGUUUUAGUUUUAGAAAACCUAUUUUCAACUAAACACAUUGUUUGGCUUUGAAAAACAGAUUUGAAAAACUAUAAUGCUAGCGACAUCCUCUCUUAAGCCCUAAAUUAAGGACUAUCAGGUGGCUUAGUUGAAAACCACAACCGGGUGGGUAUUGCAUACAUGUGUAUUGUUAUUUUUGAGGCCAUUCAGUUUUGAAUGGAUCGACGCUCAGGUAAGGUGAGUUGUGAGAGCAUGACCGAACAAUCGUCGGUCUAGGGGAGUGUUUAAAUGUGGCGUCCGAUUAUAUACAUGUUCUACAUAUGUAUAUAUGAAGACUGUGAUGUGGAGUAUUUACUUUUCUGGGAAUUCAGUACCCCAUGGAUGUGUAUGGGUAUACAGACAUGGGAAUACUGAGAAGUGUAAUGUACUUGUAACGACGCAUCUACGCUCAGGUAAGAAGGUGAGUUACCAUAAUGAGUUGCUCUAUGGUUAAAGUGUGGCAACGGCGCCUAUGCGUAGCUCGGCGCUUAAAGAUGAGCUGGCCUCCAUAUAGCAAUAUAUGGAGUAUAAACUGUGAUAAACUGUCAUGUGUGAAUUGCAUCAUGGGAAAAUGGGCUGUAAUGGAAUUUUCUGCAGGUACACUAACCUCGAAAACGUAUGUGUAGUUGACGACUAGCAAAAUACCGUGAGUGUCGCAAGUAUGCCACCGAUAUAGAACGCUAUCGCCACAUUAUGUUGGCAAAAUCAGUGAGGACGAAUAAGACGAGCAUGCAUCCUGAUUGUUGCAUUAUGUUUGUCACCUAUACACCCAAGAUGCUUCUCUCAUCCUUAUUCCAGUAACCAUUGAUUGUAAAUAAUAUGGUGUCUUUUACAUGUUUAGAUAGCUCUCAGGUUGUUUUAAUUUGACCAUUAGUGCAAAUGUGUUUGCCCUUGUGCUUGAUGUGUCGAUAGAAGGUUAGUGAUUUGUUUGCCUAAACCGAAAAUUAGGCCAUGUUUUUAUUUGGUAAACCGAGACCCAAAUUUGAAUUUACCAUUAUCCCUCUAUGACUAAACUCAUGUAAAUGAAUGUUUAGAUAAUUUCUUUGUUGGACAUAAAAUGUACCCAAGCUUAAACCAAGGAUCUCAAACCAUGUCUCCUUCUAGAACCAUUCCCUUGUUCAGUUGAUGCAGGUUGAGGUCUCUAUUGUAUUUGGCCUCCUUGCGGAUUGCAUUGUUGCUUUAUCAACCCAACCUGGGAAAGUCAUGCCUGAUCAUUUUCCUUAAUUUGGUGUCGUUGAUUUCUUCAUAUCUAUUGAAGGCAUACCAACUUCAUCUUGUGAUUGUUUUCCUCCGUAUCUAAUCGGAUACUAAUCCUUGACCUUGUAAUCUCUGCGAUGGGCAUAGAAAUAUGCUUGGGGCUGAAGUAUCAGUCUCCCAUCGUAUUCCCUCACCAACCAAUUUUGGUUAUGGCCAUGCCUUAUUCAUUUCAUCGGGCCAUAAUCUAUUUCGCUCUCUACUUGUAACCGUUUUGACAGGUAUAGUCUCUUUGUAUAUUGUCACCCUUGCCUAAUCCAUUGGUGUCGCACGAGAUUUCUUAUUGGUUACGUCUGGUAAUGGUGUUGUGACUAAAACUGAUGGUGCCGCGACGAAACCAAGGGCCUCCUGUGAAUGUACACACAUGGUUGCGCCGCUUGGCACGCGCCGGUAUCACGGUUAGUAGUUGUAAUCCAUUAUGAGACUAUAUCAAUGUGUUAUCUUGGCACAAUCUGUUUUUGCUACGUGAGAUUCAUUAUUGGUGUUGUUUGGUGAUGGUGUCAUGAUUAAGGACUUGUGGUGCCGCAGCGAAACUGAGAGCCCCUUGUGAAUGUACACGCAAGGUUCUGCUGCUUGGCGCAUGCUGGUAUCGAGGUCUCUAGUCAUGAUCCAUUAUGGAACUACACUGAUGUGUUAUCUUCCGUGGACUCCUUCCUUGAAACGAUUUCGGUGUUGUUUGUCGAGGUGAUCAAGCAACAUCUGUCAUCUCCAUUGGAUCAAAAGGGCAUACCACUUUCAUAUGUGGUCUUAUUUCUUUUGAUCUUGGUAGUGUCUACUCAUACCCGUUCCCUUUACGUCCUUUGUGUAAAGGUGAAGCCUUGGAGCUUUUUAGUGUCAAGAGACAGCUAAUUAGCUCUCAGAAUGGAGAUUGGAUUUCCCCUUGAAAGCAUCUAGGCCCCUGGUUGGUUUUAGUGAUUAAUGACAACGCAUUAUUAUAUGUGACUAACGUGUGUUUUGCAGAGACAAAUGGUAAGUUAGGUCGCAUGACAGGUAGAAGUACUACAACGGAGAAAACAAUCCCGGAGAUAAGAACUCGAAGCAACGGCUAAAACGACGAAACAAAAGGUGAAGGUCUACGGAGUCCGAGUGUCAAGGAGAUGUGGACACUCGCAUUUUAAUUAGGCUCUUUAUUCUCUUUUAGCCGUACUAUAAAGAGGGGUUGUCGAUGAGUAGUUUGACCAAGAGAGUUCUAGUGUAGUGUUGGUGCACAAUCACACUCAUACACAGUGCUAGGUGUCACUCUAGAACUCACACACAAGUUAGAGCGAAAACCGAUUUGAAAAUCAGCUGAAAAACAAGACUUAGGGUUUCUGGCUUUGGGGCACCGGACUGUCCGGUGUGCACCGGACUGUCCGGUGCACCCUCUGCCAGGUGGGACCAGGCUGGUUCACAGCAGAGCCUUCCCAGUCGCAGAAACCCGAGAGCGCUGCCUUCGGAGAUGAAUUUUAGUGGCACACCGGACAUCGCACCGGACUGUCCGGUGUGCACCGGACAGUGGACUGUUCACUGUCCGGUGCGCCAUGAGUCCAACGGCUCUGUGUCAGAACUAGCCGUUGGAAGUGACCGUUGGCGCACCGGUGGCGCACCGUUGGCGCACCGGUGGCGCACCGUUGGCGCACCGGUGGCGCACCGGACUGUCCGGUGCGCCAUCGCGCAGCAAGUUUCCUGUAACGGCUAGUUGGUGGGUGAGGGCUAUUUAUACCCCUUCCACCCACCAUAUUCAAGGUCUUGCACUCCACAUUUAUUCCAGCACCUUGGUAGAGUAUUGCAAGCACCAAAAGCCUAGUGAGGAGACUAGAGAAUCAUAAUCCGCGCUUGUUCCUCAUUAGCGCUAGUGAGAGCCACCUAGAGCACACACCACUUGCAUUAGGCUUCUCUUGGUCAAGCGAAAGUCUAUGGCUUGUUACUCUUGGUGAUCGGCAUCACCUAGACGGCUUGGUGGCGUUGGGAGCUCGGUGAUCACCGUGAAGAUCUUGUUGGUGACCCGACUCAAGUUUGUAAGCGGUCUCGAGGGAUCCACCGCGCCGGAGUGGCAAAGGAUCACCUCGUAGUGAGCACUUGGUUCUUGCGAGGACCAAGGGGGAGCGAUACCCUUGCGCGGGUGCUCCAACGAGGACUAGUGGAGAGUGCCGACUCUUCGAUACCUCGGAAAAAAUUGGAGGAGUCUUCUAAACUUUGCUUUACAUUCCGCACUUAAUUCAAGCUAUUUACUUUGUGUAUUUGUUUAGCAAGUAUUUGAAGCAUUGUUUUAGCCUUGUUACAUUUCUAGUAUUAUUUUCUUAGUGCUAGUUGUUGGGGUGAAGUUGGGCUCUUGUUUAGCUCUUGCUUAGGUUUUAAUUAGUGUUGAUUUUUAGAAAAGCCCAAUUCACCCCCCCUCUUGGGCAUCGUGAUCCUUUCAAUUGGUAUCGGAGCCUUGUUGCUCAUAGAUUAGCUUAACCGCUAGAGUUACGAUGUCCGGUGGGGAUGGACCUCCUCCCGUUUUUGAUGGUGACGAUUUUCCUUAUUGGAAAAUUCGUAUGGAAGCAUACUUAGAGGCUAUAGACAUUGGUGUCUAUAAAGCCGCCACACAAGGGUUUCCCCAACCUAGAGAUCCCACAAAUCUUGUAGGGGAUGAGUUCAAUUAUGAGAAAUGGAAUGCGAAGGCCAAAAACACCCUUUUUAGAGGCCUUUGCAAAGAUGUGUUCAAUAGAGUUCGGAAUCAUAAAAAUGCUCAUGAUUUGUGGAUGGACAUUUGUGCUCUACACGAAGGAACUAGAAGUGAACGUGAGGAAAGAUAUCACAUAGCUAUGCGAAAGUUAAAUUCUUUUGAAAUGCUUGCUAAUGAAAAUGCAAACGCUAUGUACUCACGACUUAAUAUUCUUGUAGAGGAAGUCAAUGGAUUGGGGCUUACUCAAAUCUCACAACCGGAUGUUGUGAGGAAGAUUCUCAGUGUCCUCCCAAUAGACAAAUAUGGACACAUUGUCACUGUGCUACAUCAAAUGGAUCUUUCGGUUACCACACCUACACAAAUUUUGGGAAAGAUCAAUGCCCAUGAAAUAUAUAUGCACAUCAACGACAAAGAAGAAUCAUCUUCCAAAAGAAAGGAUUUGGCCCUCAAAGCAAAUCAUGAAAGAAAAGGAAAAGCAAAAAUACAAGUUGAGGAAGAAUCCUCAAGUGAUGAUGACCUUGAUGCAAACAUUGCCUUGAUGGUAAGGAAGACCACUAAGAUGUUGAAGAAGCUAAAUAGAGAAGGCAUCAAAUUUGACUCAAGGAAGAAGAAGUUCUUUUCCAACAGAAGAAAGCCCAUCUCUGAGAUGGACUGCUACAACUGUGGUGAGCUUGGUCAUCUUGCUCAUCAAUGCAACAAGCCCAAGAAGAACAAGUUCAAGGGCAAGAAAGAAGAUGACAGUGAUGAUGAAAAGAAGGAAAAGAAAUUCUUCAAGAGGAAGGAUGGGAAGCAAAAGAGGUUCCACAAGAAGAAGAAUGGAAAGGCUUAUAUUGUUGGUGACUGGCUCACCGACGUCGAAUCAUCAAGUGGAUCUUCUUCAAGUGAAGAAGAGGAUGAUGAAAAAGUUGCGGCCAUCGCCGGGGACUUCUCUUCACCACCACCAUCGCCAUCAUCCACUUCUCACCUGUGCCUUAUGGCUAAGGGUGAACGAAAGGUACAAAAUGAUAUUGAUGAUGAUAGUGAUAGUGAUAGUGAUGAAGAAUUUGCUUCACCUUCAUAUGAUGAGUUAGCUGACUUACUUAAAGAAUAUACUCAAAUCAUAAGAAAGUCAAAAGCUAAAUGUGAUAGGUUGAAAAAUGAAAAUGAAUCUUUAAAUGCCAAGUAUGACAUAGUUAUAAAGGCUAGUGAUGAAAUAAAAGAAGAAAAUAAAACUAUGUCAUCAACUGUAAAUGAGCUCACAAUCUCCCUAAAAGAUGCUAAGGAAAAAUAUGACAAAUUAAAUGAAGCUAAUAGGGAGUUGCAAAAUAGACUAGUUAAGAUCAAGGAAGACUAUACUCAAAUUAAAUUUGAUCAUGACAAUCUUCUUGUUGAAAAUGAACUUUUAUCUUGCAAAACACAUGAGGCUAUUAACCCUGUUGUUAAGCUUGAUGUAGCAACCUCAUGUGAUGAUUUGAUUCAAGAAGAGCAAACUAGUCUACAUGCUGAAUUGACUGAAAAAGUUGAAGUCCUGACUUUAGACAACCAAAAAUUGAAGAAUUAUUUGACUGAUGCAACUACUAGAGGAAAAGUUGCUAUUGAGAACAAUGAUUUCAACAAUGAGUUGGCAGUGGAUAAUCAAAGGCUUAAGAAUGAGGUCAAGAAACUAAAAAGUGAAAAUGAACAUCUUGCAACAAGUGUGCAAAAGUUCAACAAGGGUCAAUACCUCCAAAAUGAGCUGCUUAUGAACACUGUUAUGAAAAAUAACAAGAGUGGUAUUGGAUACAAUGCUUUUGUGCAAAAGAAAUCUAUCACUCAAUACAAGCCAAAGCAGACUCACAAGCCUAUCAAAUGCUUUGAGUGUGGAAAUGAAGGUCAUUUUGCCCACAACUGCAAAGCUAAACCACCAACUCCCUUGCCUAAGCACUCAAGACCAUUUGCUUUCAAUGCUCACUAUGUUCUAAGAAAGGUUGCAAAUGGAAAGAUUAAGGUUACAUUCCUAGGUCCACCAAAUAAGAGUAGACCUAGACAAAUCUGGGUGGCAAAGUCCUUAAUUGAGAGAGUCACUGGUCCUAUGCAAUAUAGGGCUCUCAAAACUCAAGCUUGAAUUGUCUGUGAAUGUAGGUGAACUACAAGACCGGUGGGAGCCAUUGGGUUAUUGACAGUGGAUGCACACAACAUAUGACAGGCAACCCACGGAUGUUCACCUCAUUAGAUGAGAAUGUUGAUGGUCAAGAUAAAAUCACAUUUGGAGACAACUCAAAAGGAAAAGUACAAGGACUUGGCAAGGUGGCAAUCUCAAAUGACUUAUCAAUAUCAAAUGUUCUCUUAGUUGCACCUUUGAGCUUCAAUUUAUUAUCAGUGGGACAACUCUGUGAUCUUGGACUUCAAUGCUUAUUCACUCCAUCAGAGGUUAUUGUAACAAAAAUGGAUGAUGAAUCAAUGGUAUUCAAGGGUUUUAGAUACAACAACCUCUACUUAGUGGAUUUCACUUCAGAAGAUGCAGACUUAAGAACUUGCCUCUUCACCAAAGCUUCUCUUGGAUGGCUUUGGCAUAGGAGGCUUGCACAUGUUGGGAUGAGCACACUCAAGAAGGUAUUAAAGAAAGAUAUGGUUAGAGGAUUAAAGGAUGUGGUAUUUGAAAAGGACAAGCCAUGCAGUGCAUGUCAAGCUGGAAAGCAGGUUGCUAAUACACAUCCCACUAAAGCUUUCAUGUCAACAUCAAGGCCACUGGAACUACUUCAUAUGGAUUUAUUUGGACCUACAAAUUAUGUCAGUGCCGGUGGCAACCUCUACUGUCUAGUGAUUGUUGAUGACUUCUCAAGAUACACUUGGGUGUUCUUUCUCCAUGACAAAUCUGAAGUUGCAUCUAUAUUCAAGAAGUUUGCCAAGAAAGCUCAAAAUGAAUUUGAUUGCAAGAUUAAGAAGAUUAGAAGUGACAAUGGCAAAGAAUUUGACAACACCAACAUUCAUGAGUACUGUGAUGAAAUUGGGAUCAAGCAUGAAGUAUCUGCCACAUAUACACCUCAACAAAAUGGAGUUGUUGAAAGGAAAAAUAGGACCUUGAUCACUCUUGCAAGAACAAUGAUUGAUGAGUAUAACACACCGGAGAGGUUUUGGGCCGAAGCUGUCAACACUGCUUGCUAUGCAUCAAACAGGCUAUUUCCUCACCGGCUACUUGCGAAGACUCCUUAUGAACUGCUAAAUGGGAAAAAGCCAGACGUCUCUUUCUUCCGGGUGUUUGGGUGCAAAUGCUACAUCUACAAAAAACGCCAUCAUUUAGGGAAGUUUCAAAGACGUUGUGAUAUUGGUUUUCUUUUGGGUUAUUCAUUAAAGUCCAAAGCAUAUCGAGUAUUCAACCAUGCCACUGGCGUGGUAGAAGAAACAUAUGAUGUGGAAUUUGAUGAGACUAAUGGCUCCCAAGGAGCACUUGAAAAUCUUGAUGAUGUAGGUGAUGAGCCACUUAGGGAAGCAAUGAAGAACAUGCCUAUUGGAGCUAUCAAACCAAAAGAAGAUGAAGAAGAGGUGCGAAUCAUUGACAGGCCUUCUUCAUCAAAUGUACCACAAGAUGAUGAAAAAGAUGAGAGGCAUGCAAAUGAAGAUACAUUCGUCUCUCAUGAACAAGCAAGGGUACAAGCCGAAGAUGUUGAUGCUCCAGGAUCUUCUUCCCAAGUGGUUAACAGGAGAAACUCAUCACUACUUCAAGCUCAUCCUCAAAACCAAAUCAUCGGGAGUCCUUCACAAGGGGUUAUUACUCGAUCACAUAGACAUGCUAAUUUUAUUGAACAUCACUCUUUUGUUUCUUGUGUUGAGCCUACUUGUAUAGAUGAGGCGCUACAGGAUCCGGACUGGGUGAAUGCCAUGCAUGAAGAACUUAACAACUUCACCCGUAACGAAGUUUGGACCCUGGAGAAGCCCCCACAAGAUGCAAGAAUCAUUGGAACAAAGUGGGUGUUCAGAAACAAACAGGAUGAUCAAGGUGUGAUUGUAAGAAACAAGGCAAGACUUGUUGCAAAAGGAUUCUCUCAAGUUGAAGGCUUAGACUUUGGAGAGACCUUUGCACCGGUUGCUCGACUGGAAGCCAUCCGUAUCCUACUUGCAUAUGCAUCAUGUUAUGAUAUAAAACUUUAUCAAAUGGAUGUAAAAAGUGCAUUUUUAAAUGGCUUCAUAAAUGAACUUGUAUAUGUUGAGCAACCGCCUGGAUUUGAAGACCCUAGAUAUCCUAACCAUGCUUACAGGUUGUCCAAGGCGCUAUAUGGGCUAAAGCAAGCUCCAAGGGCUUGGUAUGAGCGUCUUCGCGACUUCCUCAUCGAAAAGGGCUUCAAAAUCGGGACCGUCGACACAACUCUCUUCACCAAGAAACAUAACGGUGAUAUUUUCAUUUGUCAAGUAUAUGUUGAUGAUAUAAUCUUUGGCUCGACAAAUGACUGUCAUUGCAAGGAAUUUGGUGAGUUGAUGUCGAAGGAGUUCGAGAUGUCAAUGAUUGGUGAGCUAACAUACUUCCUUGGCUUUCAAGUCAAGCAAAUGAAAGAUGGUAACUUUCUCUCUCAAGAGAAGUAUACCAAAGACUUGUUGAAAAGAUUCAACAUGGAGAAGUGCAAACCAAUCAAGACCCCCAUGCCUACAAAUGGACAUCUCGACUUAGAUGAGGGAGGUAACCCGGUUAAUCAAACUCUCUACCGUUCUAUGAUUGGUAGUUUAUUAUACCUUACCGCAUCUAGGCCCGAUAUCAUGUUUAGUGUCUGCAUGUGUGCUAGAUUUCAAUCUAAUCCUAAGAAAGCUCAUCUUCGCGCUGUUAAGAGAAUUCUUAGGUAUCUCAAGCACACCACAAGCGUUGGUUUGUGGUAUCCCAAAGGAGCUACUUUUGAUUUAAUUGGCUAUUCCGAUUCGGAUUAUGCCGGUUGCAAGAUUGAUAGGAAAAGUACUUCUGGGGGAUGCCAUCUGCUUGGUAGAUCACUAGUUUCAUGGACAUCCAAAAAGCAAAAUAGUGUUGCCUUGUCAACUGCCGAAGCGGAAUACAUUGCCGCAGGUGCUUGUUGCACACAGAUUCUAUAUAUGAAACAAACUCUUCUAGACUAUGGUGUAGUUCUAGAAAAAGUACCUUUGUUGUGUGAUAAUGAGAGUGCUGUUAAAAUUGCUAAUAAUCCUGUACAACACUCUCGCACCAAGCACAUUGAUAUCCGUCAUCACUUCCUUAGAGAUCAUGUUGCUAAAGGAGAUAUUAUUUUAGAAGGAGUGAGGUCGGAAGAUCAAUUAGCGGAUAUUUUCACUAAGCCACUUGAUAAGACCCGCUUUUGCAUGUUGAGAAAUGAACUAAAUAUCCUUGAUCUCAGAAAUUUUAUGUGAAAUGUCAAAUGGUGUUGUCACUUGCAUUGCAUAUUUAAAUUUCUUGUAUUGCAUCUAGGGCUUGUCUAACCUAGUUGAGAUAACCGCCAAUAAAGCGAGUGAAAAAGCUUAACUCGGGUCAAACUUGACAAGUCUUAGUUUUAAGCUUUUGGCACUUAAAUUCUUACUUUCAUGCAAUUAUUGGUUCUUGAAAUAUGCAUGAGGUACUGCACUUAGGGGGAGUAUUCAAAACUCAAAUCACUCUUGAAAACCCCUAGCGCAAGCCCAAAUGCAAAUUUCACCAUUUGCCUAUUUUCUCUAAAAAUUAUCUAGCCUAUGGCAAAAUAUUUUGAAAAGUAUAUGAGGGUGCCAAUACCUGUCCCAACAAGUGUUCUUUUGUGUGAUUAUAAGUUGGGAUUUGGUUUGGUUAGGAGUUAGAUAGAAAAAUUCAAAAUUUUCCAAACUCUCCUCUGUCUGGGCUCACCGGACAGUCCGGUGUGCACCGGACACUGCACUGUGCAAUGUCCGGUGCACCGGCAGCCGCGCGCGAAGUUCCUCUUUUCCUGUGCGCUGUCCGGUGGUUCACCGGACAUCUACUGUGCGCUGUCCGGUGUGCACCGGACAGCCACUGUAGACUGUCCGGUGUGCCCAUCUCGCGUUUUAAAAAAUCGCCCCCAGCCCGACCGAGCCAGAGGCACAACUGCUCUCUGUCUCACGGCCCUCUCUCUGCUCCUGGCGACUCCGACUCCCCCGCCGGCGAUCUCCACCGGCGUCCUCCGUCUCUGGCCGCGCUCCGGCGAUCUCUUGCGGCUUGGGCUCGUCCUUCCAUCUCUCUCUCGGUCAGCUUCUUCCCUGUCUCUCUUUCUCUCUGUGUUCUUAGCAGUUCACCACCCUUUGAUGCAUUUCCAAAUCCUUUUGAAUUCCUGUCAAUUCCUGUGAAUCCAAUUGGUGGUAUGAGUUUCAGUAUCUCUCUUGAGUAUCCUUGCAAGUUCCUAGCUCCUUCGGGAGGGCAUUCACACCUCAAAUGGCCAUAUACCUAAAACCCUAAAUCCUCGCCCACCAAGUGCUCGGUGAAAUGCCCAAACCAGCCAAACUUGCUCCAAUUGAACCCAAAUUUUUCAGGCCCUUCACCACACUUCCAGUAACCUACUUGCCAAAUUUCACGCCAAUCUGAGAUCCCAGGCUUAAAUUUAACCAAAAUUCUCGUUUUGCACGAUCGUUUCCGAGCCGAGUGCCCAUAACCCUAUUUCUUCGCCUAAAUUCAAACCAAGCACACACUUCACUCAUAUUGACCUAUAUAAACCUAUUCGUGAAGUAUCGGCUCAAUCCCAUAUCGUUUUGUGCCUCAAUUUGAAUUCCAAUCAUCCUAUGUCUCUAUUUGUCCGUCAAACGUCGUUUUCACGGCUUUUGACUUAUCGAUCGUCCCAUCUCGUGCCAUAUCUCUUUGUGUAUGUAUUUAUUCACAUUUCAUAUGCUUAUGACUAUGUGACUAAUACGUGCUCACCUCUUCUGUCAUUUCAGUGACCUUGUGUGACCGAGUGCCGUCUCCCGUCCUGCCUGGAUCGUCACCUCUCGUGUGACCUUUCCAGGUAGACAUCUCACUCUUUGCUAAAUAUAUCGGUCACUUUUGCUCUGUGCUUAGUCUCUCUAUCUCGUUUGCAGACUUUAGUUCAGGAUGCCGCGCACGAAGAAUGCGUCGGCAUCAGGGGGUGGCGACGAUGAGGACCCUCGUCGCCCCUUCAGGCAGGUGAAGGGCAAGACUGUGUAUCUGGAGCAGCAGGAAGGCCGCAAGAAGCGGCGUUCAGACAGAGAGGCUCGCGCAGCAGCAGCAGCUGCCGCAGCCGCUGCACAGGCAGCACUUGAGGAUCAGCCGGAUAUUCCAUCAGAUCAGAUUGCUUUCCGUGCUCGUCGUCUCGCCUCCCGGUCUCGCUCCUCCACUCACACCUCCGCUCCCACUCCGCCACCCACUCUGCCUGCUCCAGUCACUCCUAUUGCUCCAUCCACCUCCACCGCCAUACCCACUACCAGCACCACGCCAGCUUCCACUGCUUCCCCUGCCCCCGCUCCCGCUUCAGCUCCACCUGUCCCUCCACCUCGCUUCCGGGAGCGCGAUGAGACUGAGGUCCGUCCACUGGGUUCGGAUCCUCGUCUAUUUGAUCUUCAGCGUGCCACUGCAGCCCGGGUACGUCGGUUCAGGUACGUACCCGUGGAGUCUUGGCUGCUAGCUCAGAGAGACCCAGCAGCAGGAGUUCUUUUCAGCACUCGGAUUCAGGAGUCAUUCUUCAGGGCUCAGUUGUCUGCUCAGAUUGCGCUGCGAGUGCACCGCCUACUGGAUCUUCCAGCCUUCUUGCUAGCAGCCGGUGCUGAGUCUGAGGCUCAUCUCACCUAUUUGCCAGGGCUUCUGUCCUUUCUGACUAUCAGCGGCAGAUACGUUGAGGAGUGGGUCCGCGUCUUCUAUGCCUCUGUUUGGAUUGACCCGGAUCAUCAUUGGAUCAGGUUCCGCUUUGAGCGCGAGGAUGUCACAAUCACUGCCGAUCAGAUCCGACAGCUUUUUGGCUUCCCUGUGUCGACGACUCGCCUGCACAGUCUCUGCUAUGGCACUUCAGAUCCUCCACGUCGCCCUCACGGCGGUGUGGCUCCCGGGACAGCUCACGUCGCGGCUCUGUUCCGCCCGCCUUUCACAGAUGGGUCGCGACGUUCUCCAGCAGACUUCACUACUACAGCGAAGUACUUAUAUGAGCUCGUCAGACGGACACUCCUGCCUAGGAUGGGAUACAGGGAGGCUACCACUCAUAUUCAGCUUUGGCUCCUUGGUGCCCUGGUAUCCCACUCUGAGUUUGAUGUUGUGGACUUUCUGAUCUGUGAGAUUGAGGACACUAUUCUGGAUGGGAUUCGUGCUCGGCGGCAGCUACCCUAUGCUCACUACUUAUGCCACAUAUUUGCGCAGCUGAUCCAGCCACCUCGCUUUCAGAGCACCCUUGAGGCCUCUCGCCUUGUGUUUGGAUCUUACCGUCCUGCUCCAGAGAUUCCAGUGCCAGCUUAUGCUCCUGUGUUUGACACUCAGGCUGAGGAUGCAGCACUUCGCCAGUUUGACACCCAGGGUGCAGCAGAUGAUGAUGAUGAUGAUGAUGAUUUUGGGAUUCCUCCUCCGCCUCCUAUGCCUCCACGCUCUCAUGAUCAUGAGGCUGGGAGCUCUAGUGCUGCCCCUGCUACCCCUCAGGCUAUGGACCCUGCUCUAGCUUCGAUUCUUCAGACUCUCACUCAGCAGCAGGCUCAGCUGGCAGCCGAGCAGGCCCGUAUGUCCGAGAGGAUGCUCUCAAUGUUUCAGACUAUGCAGGACAGGCAGGAUUCACUUCAGCAGCAGCUUAUUCAGGAUAGGGCAGAGAAUAGGGCAUUCAUGGCCCUCAUGCUUCAGCAUUCUGGUAUCUCAGCGUCUCCAGUUCAGUCUGCUCCGCCUUCUUCGCUUCACGCUCCAGUAGUGCCUUCGAUCUUGUCUGCACCCCCUGCUGUUACCUCUCCGCUCCGGCCGGUCACCUUGGCGUUCACUUCACCAGUUCUCAGCUCUGUCUGCCCGCAGCCGCUAGUGCCACCAGCAUCUGCUGUUUCCACUACCGCUGUGGCAGUAUCUGUGACUGCUUCUGCUCCGGUAGCUCCUGCAGCGCUGCCUGUGUCCGAGUCAGUACCAGCUCCAGCUUCUACCGCAGAUCCUGGAUCCGAGCCUGACUCUGACCCUCCGUCGGCGUUUGCUCUGCUACCUCGACCUCGACCGGAUGCGCCCCCGUCGCCUCCUCCUGCAUCCGAUGUUUAGGUCCCUUUUGGUGUUUGACGCCAAAGGGGGAGAGUUAUGAGUUGUGAGAGCUAGGGGGAGUUAGAGAGAGAGUCAGUGUCCUUUUGAUGUAAUAUUUGUGCCUGCUACUCUCUGUACUAGCUUUAUGUUUUUGGCUUCCAAACUCGUCAUAUACUCUCGUUGCUUUUGGUUGACUGUGUGUAUUACGUUUUCACCUUAUAUCAUAUCUCCAGUCUUCUAGUUCUUGUUUCAUUAAUUUAUUUUUUCUUUUAUAUGAACAAGAAUCUUAUGAUGUGUAUGCGCUCACUCUUAUUAUUAUGGUACACAUCCUUUCUGUCAAAAAUUACUGAGUAUAACUAACCAUUCUUUCUAUUGACAGAAUCUUCAAAACAAACUACUCUCACAAAACUUGUAGGGUUGUCAUCAAUCACCAAAAAGGGGGAGAUUGAAAGCAUCUAGGCCCCUGGUUGGUUUUAGUGAUUAAUGACAACGCAUUAUUAUAUGUGACUAACGUGUGUUUUGCAGAGACAAAUGGUAAGUUAGGUCGCAUGACAGGUAGAAGUACUACAACGGAGAAAACAAUCCCGGAGAUAAGAACUCGAAGCAACGGCUAAAACGACGAAACAAAAGGUGAAGGUCUACGGAGUCCGAGUGUCAAGGAGAUGUGGACACUCGCAUUUUAAUUAGGCUCUUUAUUCUCUUUUAGCCGUACUAUAAAGAGGGGUUGUCGAUGAGUAGUUUGACCAAGAGAGUUCUAGUGUAGUGUUGGUGCACAAUCACACUCAUACACAGUGCUAGGUGUCACUCUAGAACUCACACACAAGUUAGAGCGAAAACCGAUUUGAAAAUCAGCUGAAAAACAAGACUUAGGGUUUCUGGCUUUGGGGCACCGGACUGUCCGGUGUGCACCGGACUGUCCGGUGCACCCUCUGCCAGGUGGGACCAGGCUGGUUCACAGCAGAGCCUUCCCAGUCGCAGAAACCCGAGAGCGCUGCCUUCGGAGAUGAAUUUUAGUGGCACACCGGACAUCGCACCGGACUGUCCGGUGUGCACCGGACAGUGGACUGUUCACUGUCCGGUGCGCCAUGAGUCCAACGGCUCUGUGUCAGAACUAGCCGUUGGAAGUGACCGUUGGCGCACCGGUGGCGCACCGUUGGCGCACCGGUGGCGCACCGGACUGUCCGGUGCGCCAUCGCGCAGCAAGUUUCCUGUAACGGCUAGUUGGUGGGUGAGGGCUAUUUAUACCCCUUCCACCCACCAUAUUCAAGGUCUUGCACUCCACAUUUAUUCCAGCACCUUGGUAGAGUAUUGCAAGCACCAAAAGCCUAGUGAGGAGACUAGAGAAUCAUAAUCCGCGCUUGUUCCUCAUUAGCGCUAGUGAGAGCCACCUAGAGCACACACCACUUGCAUUAGGCUUCUCUUGGUCAAGCGAAAGUCUAUGGCUUGUUACUCUUGGUGAUCGGCAUCACCUAGACGGCUUGGUGGCGUUGGGAGCUCGGUGAUCACCGUGAAGAUCUUGUUGGUGACCCGACUCAAGUUUGUAAGCGGUCUCGAGGGAUCCACCGCGCCGGAGUGGCAAAGGAUCACCUCGUAGUGAGCACUUGGUUCUUGCGAGGACCAAGGGGGAGCGAUACCCUUGCGCGGGUGCUCCAACGAGGACUAGUGGAGAGUGCCGACUCUUCGAUACCUCGGAAAAAAAUUGGAGGAGUCUUCUAAACUUUGCUUUACAUUCCGCACUUAAUUCAAGCUAUUUACUUUGUGUAUUUGUUUAGCAAGUAUUUGAAGCAUUGUUUUAGCCUUGUUACAUUUCUAGUAUUAUUUUCUUAGUGCUAGUUGUUGGGGUGAAGUUGGGCUCUUGUUUAGCUCUUGCUUAGGUUUUAAUUAGUGUUGAUUUUUAGAAAAGCCCAAUUCACCCCCCCUCUUGGGCAUCGUGAUCCUUUCACCCCUGCUGUUGAGAUGCAGGAGUUUGUUCAUUCGCUUAUUUAGUCCAUAUAUUCCCUAACCAAGUCAGUUCCUCUCGCAUGGAAGAAACGGAUGAACCACAUGAUCAAAUGGAUUUCUAACCAAGUGCAGGAUUUCCUGUUAGCAAAUGUGAACUCUCAACCCUUGACUUACCGAUGGUACUGAGAGGACUUGCUCAAUGUCAAAAGUAGUUCAACAAGUUGGUUUUACUAACUUGUAACUGCCUAGUGAACAAAGGUUGAGUUUAGAGAUCGAUUUAUCGAGUUAUCUAAACUCACUUUGGUUCAACUCAUUCGAAGAAAGUACUUUCAAGACUCAAGUCAAGUCAACUAAUAACCACCUAAUUAACGCUCUAGUCAUGCCUCGAUUGCUUCACGUGUGUUUUUCUAGCAUGUGUGAUCAAGUCGAGCCAUGAUUAGUACUGGGUAAAAUGGACUAGUUGUAAAGUCUGUAUCCAUAGAUCCCUUCGCUGGUGAUUCUCUCGAAUCUAUACCAUCUUUCGUGGACUUGAAUUCUCGGGUUAGCCACAUGUUAACCGCGACAAUAUUCGACAUCCACAUCCAUCUCCUGUGCUAUGAGCUUACCGUAACCACUUGAUGGUAAACCUCUUUCUGUGUGUUUUACCCUAGAGGUUGCAUCUGGUUCUGUUUGGGUAAAGUCGCAUAUCCACCGCUCGCUCAAUAGACUCAGAUAGUACAGUGUCAUCAAAAAAAGCAAACUGCACGCAUGGAACCUUAUGUGUUCCUCUGGCAGACAUCGUCUCUAUUGGUGGACAUAUCUAAAUUAGCCUAAGGCGAUACAUGCUAUGUCCACUAAAGAAACAAUAUCCUGAGACACUUGCCUUUGCUUGAAACUGUCUUAGGGUUAUCACUGAUAUGGAUAUGGGGUACAUGCUUCUCUACCCUUAGAAGUCUUUCACUCCGAAUCUCGGGACGAGAUUCUUUUAAGGGGGAGGGCUGUAACACCCCAGGUGUUUAUAUUCCGCUCGACAAUGAGUACGGAUUUAAGCACCUAAUCAGUGGAUAAAAUGAAUGCUAAAUUUUAAACAUCUUCGCUAUCGCGAUUUUAAUAUCGCAUCUGUUUCGUUUGUCGUGAGUGCGACAUCGUUUUUAUUUUUAUCUAUCCAGGCUUUUCCUAAAUUUUCGUGAUAUUUGGAACGUAGUUGUUCCGAAAAUCGGUGCGUCCGGUGAUUAUUUAAAAUUCAUCGCUCGCGCGAAUACGAAUUCGGAAGCCUAACUCAUUCGGAUGAUUUUAUCCCGGACAAAUUAAUUCGAACUCGACCACUAAAAUGCUCGAGGUAAAAUAAUCUGAAUCGCGCAUUGUCUGAGAAAAAUUGUGCGUGAGGUUAUAAUCCAAUUUAUUCUUCAGCACGAUGUUUCGAAGACAAAAUCGCGUAUUCGUUCGCAGAUAUUGUUUCGGCUAAUUUCGGUCGGAUCACGUCGAACAAAUUAUCAGUGCCGAAAUCAGUUUAUUUCGGUGUGUCGUUUUUUCCCCGGAUUCAAAACUUCGGAUAUAAAUAGCGGAUGAAAAUUUAUCUGACUCCGAAGUAUUCACUAAAUUAAAUCCGGUCUAAAUAUUGUUGUCGAUCUUAUUUAGUUCGACCCUUUUAUAUAUCUUUUAGACCUCAUUUUAUACCCAAAAUAUCUGCAUUUCGCUUUUGUAAAAGAAGUAAAAAAAUGGAAAAUAUCUUCUCAGAUUUUUCCUGAGCCGUCCCUAUCCCCAAACCGCCCUCUCUCUAUAUUUAUUUUCUCUUCAUCUCUAUCCUGCCGCCGCCCAGGCUUCUCCCGAGUGAACGUGCACCUUGCUGGUCUGGCCGUGGAUUUCUUCCUCUCCCCUGCGAGCUUCACUAGUCCGACCCCAAGCUGAGCUCCAUCCGUGGCGACUAGCUAAACUCCAUCCCGCGUCAAGUAUUCAAGCAGCGUGCUUUUUCUCCAUUCGUGCAAACACCCAGCCGUUGUCAUGCAUGGUGCUGCUCUAUCUCUCUAGCCGUCAGCCAUUUAUUCUCGCUCCAACGUGAUCAACGUCCAUACCUCAGCCUCCUUGCUACAGUUUUGGUCCCGCUUUGGAGCUCGCUGGUGCCGUAUGGUCAGCUCUCUGUUCGUCUCUACGCACAGCUUCCCAAGCUCCAUGGCCGCUUCCCUGCUCGCGUCGUGGUCUCCCAGCUCGUCGGUGUUCCCAGCUCGCCUUGUCUGUGCGUCGCGCUCUCUUGUCAUGGCUUUCUGCUUCUUCGUCGUGCGCGCAGUGUUUCGUCGUCCCUCGUUGUGCCGAGUUCUCCUCUGCACGCAACCGCGUCCCACUGUUUGGCUACGGUUCAACCGUCGCGCUCGAUUCUGCCCAUUUCGCCAUGCGCGGGUCUCGUCCGUGUCAUCGCUGUCGGGUUCCCUCGCCAAGUCCAGCCCCCUGUUGACGCGCCGUCAUUUCUUGGUCGCGUCGUGCUGUUUCCCUGUGCGCAUCGAGCUCGCGCGCCGAAUCUUUUUCUAGCUUGUCGCGACGCCCAGUGUCCUGCUUACUUUGCUCACCCGCGUCGGCUACUCGCUAGUGCUCCAACUCGUCAGUCGCUAUUGUCCCAUCCGCGUCAGCACGCGACUGUGGUCGUGUUCAUUAAAUUCGCCAACGCUUUGUUGCCGAUUCGACUGUCGUCGCUUCGCGUGUUGUCGAGCUCGUCGUUUUCCCUGUCUUGUACUCGCAUCCUGUUUUCUGCUCACCAGCGCGCCCUCUCGGCUCGCUCGGCUUUAAUUCCCAAUCGAGUCGUCGGACCCAUCAUCCCCUGCUCGACCACCACCUCACCAACUUACUCCAAACACGAUCUCGUCGUCGUUCCGCGCGUCAGCAAGAAAUCCCAAGAAUCGGAUGAAGACGAAGCUAGCAAGCGUGGUGUUCACCAAGUGCGCGAGAAAAGCUCAAACAUCCUGCGCGACUCAUGUUCGAUUCGUCAAAAUUAUUCAGUCAAGGAAAAGAUCUUCAGCAAUUAAUUACCGAAGAAAAGAAGACCCCUGGAUGACGUCAACCGGAACCCGUAGUCGUGCUUGCGACUAUCGCGUCAAAUUAGUCUGGGUAAGUUGAUUCGUAUUCCAGUCAACUAAGCCUAUAAAUAGAUUAAAUAGAAUUGUUGGUCACAAUAAAUAUUAUUAAUUUAGCAUGCGUAUAUUGGGAUGAUCGAUUUAGGUAAAUCGGUAAAUCAAGUAAUUAAGUUACACAGUUUAGAGAGUUAAUAAAAAGCUAGGAAUAAAAAUAGAUGUUCUAGUGUUAAUAUGUCACUUUGGUUAAUGGAUGUAGUCGAUGCCCUGCUAUGAUAUCCAUGGUGCUUAAUGCUUGAUUUUAAGUGUUCCAUCCUUUUUAGAGUAGAUUAUCUAUAAUAUACUGGUUAUACUUGUGCUCAUACAUAUGCAUCGUGCAUCUCAUGAGGUACGAUAAAUAAUCGCGCGAUGCGG
rnacentral:lncRNA from 1 species